rnacentral:rRNA from 1 species
UAUUGGGCAAUGGGCGCAAGCCUGACCCAGCAACGCCGCGUGAAGGAAGAAGGCUUUAGGGUUGUAAACUUCUUUUCUAAGGGACGAAGCAAGUGCCGGUACCUGAGGAAUAAGCCAAGGCUAACUACGUGCCAGCAGCCGCGGUAAUACGUAGGUGGCACGCGUUAUCCGGAUUUACUGGGGGUAAAGGGCGUGUAGGCGGGAAAGCAAGUCAGAUGUGAAAACCAUGGGCUCAACCUGUGGCCUGCAUUUGAAACUGUUUUUCUUGAGUACUGGAGAGGCAGACGGAAUUCCUAGUGUAGCGGUGAAAUGCGUAGAUAUUAGGAGGAACACCAGUGGCGAAGGCGGUCUGCUGGACAGCAACUGACGCUGAGGCGCGAAAGCGUGGGGAGCAAACAG